CUCGAGAGCUGCUCGAAGAAUGUAAAC
rnacentral:piRNA from 1 species